AAUCUCCUACGGGAGACAGCAGUAGGGAAUUUUCGUCAAUGGGCGCAAGCCUGAACGAGCAAUGCCGCGUGAACGAGGAAGGUCUUCGGAUCGUAAAGUUCUGUUGAAGGGGAAAAAGAGCGGAGAGAGGAAAUGAACUCCGAUUGAUAUUACCCUUCGAGGAAGUCACGGCUAACUACGUGCCAGCAGCCGCGGUAAUACGUAGGUGGCGAGCGUUAUCCGGAAUGAUUGGGCGUAAAGGGCGCGUAGGCGGCCUGCUAAGUCUGGAGUGAAAGGUACCGGCUCAACCGGUACAGGCUCUGGAA
rnacentral:rRNA from 1 species